GUCGUAACAAGGUAGCCGUAGGGGAACCUGCGGUUGGAUCACCUCCUUACCUGAAGAUACCUUCCCGCGUAGUGCUCACACAGAUUGUCUGAUAGAAAGUAACGAGCAGAAAAAACCUCUACAGGCUUGUAGCUCAGGUGGUUAGAGCGCACCCCUGAUAAGGGUGAGGUCGGUGGUUCAAGUCCACUCAGGCCUACCAAAUUUCUUCUCAUGCUGCGUUAAAGCGCCGCUCGUAUAGUGAACUAUACGUCGCGACACUUUGCCUUGCCUGAAAAGAAAUGACCGUUUGUAAAAACGGGACUCCUGGUGAGUGGUAGUAGUGGUCUCUGCAGUAACUGUAUGGGGCUAUAGCUCAGCUGGGAGAGCGCCUGCCUUGCACGCAGGAGGUCAGCGGUUCGAUCCCGCUUAGCUCCACCAUUACAGUGACUCAAAACAAUACUUCAGAGCGUGCCGGCAACGGCGUGCUGCGAAGUAUUAUGCUCUUUAACAAUCCGGAACAAGCUGAAAAUUGAAACGACGUGUUGGUUCAUUUCUCCGUAAUAAGAAAUGAAUAACGACAUGUUCGAGUCUCUCAAAUGCUUGCAGUCUGCAGCGUUGCAAAACGCCUGUGGGUUGUGAGGUUAAGCGACUAAGCGUACACGGUGGAUGCCUUGGC
rnacentral:misc_RNA from 1 species